rnacentral:misc_RNA from 1 species
GAUGAAGAACGCAGCGAAAUGCGAUAAGUAGUGUGAAUUGCAGAAUUCAGUGAAUCAUCGAAUCUUUGAACGAACAUUGCGCCCUUUGGUAUUCCUUAGGGCAUGCCUGUUCGAGCGUCAUUUAAACCUUCAAGCUCAGCUUGGUGUUGGGUGACUGUCCGCUUCACCGCGGACUCGCCUCAAAAUUAUUGGCGGCCGGUACAUUGGCUUCGAGCGCAGCAGAAACGCGAACUCGGGCCCGUCGUAUUGGCUCCCAGAAGCUAUCUUCACAAUUUUGACCUCGGAUCAGGUAGGGAUACCCGCUGAACUUAAGCAUAUCAAUAAGCGGAGGA